rnacentral:lncRNA from 1 species
AUGGAGCAUUGCAAGCAGGCAGCCGCCCGAGGCGAUGUCCACAUGGGAGGCCUGUGUGCUUCGCCACUUUUCCAAGUGGGUUUCAUGUAUACAAAGCUUGAGGUCUACUGCAUCGGCACUGAGUGUGGCAUCACAAUAAAACCCAGGGUGUGUGUUAGAACUGUUCUCUCUCGAAAGCAAUGGAUCACCUUUCCUUCAGGGUUCUCUCUCUUCCUUUGGUAAAUUAGCUUCUGGGAUUUAUGCAUGGGACCAAAUACACUGCUACACUGAAGCUGAGUUCAGUUUUUAACCAUUUAUACUAAAACGUGAAAGUUAAAAGGGGCCAGAACAUGUAAAAUAAUAAUCUGAGCACUGCUUUUAGAAUACAGCAAAUGAGGCUAUCUUAGUUUCACAUAUAGACAAUCCCCCAUUAUAAAUUUAUUUUUUGUGUGUUUCUAACUCUCUGCCCUCUACUCAAAGCCCUGGCCCAAAAUGCUCCCACACAAGGUUUUAGGUGGAGGGAAGGAAACAGAGUUCCCUACCAUAAGAAUCCCAUCUGAAGGGAGUUUCCCAUCAAUUUACUAUUUAGCAUGAAAAUUCAGAUCUUUCUAACAACAAUGGGACUCCUGAUAAAUACUUCUGAGACGUUCCUGGUAUUUGGGAAACAAGAAAUAAUAUUGAAACGUUAUCUAUUUUUGAUACAUACUAGAGGUGUGGGCAAUAAGAUAGAUGCCUAAUUUAGUAAAUCAAUCACAAUAGAUGACUUCCCACUACAUUUUAAUAUCAAAUAAAUGAUGAAUACUUUUUUAGUUUUUUUGUUUGCUUUUCGUUUUUUGUUUUGUUUGUAUCUUGUUUUGCUUUGUUGUUUCUUGUUUUUUGUUUUUUUUUGAGACGGAAUCUUGUUCUGUCUCCCAGGCUGGAGUGCAGUGGUGCGAUCUCGGCUCACUGCAAGCUCCGCCUCCCGGGUUCACGACAUUCUCCUGCCUCAGCCUCCCGAGUAGCUGGGACUACAGGCGCCUGCCACUACACCUGGCUAAUUUUGUGUACUUUUAGUAGAGAUGGGGUUUCACCUUGUUAGCCAGGAUGGUCUCUAUUUCCUGACCUCGUGAUCCACCUGCCUCGGCCUCCCAAAGAGACUUUUUCAGUUUUUAUUAUAAAUGAAUUAGUCUGUUCAGGCUGCCAUGACAAGAUACCACAGACUGGGUGGUUUCAACAACAGAUAUUUAUUUCCUACAGCUCUGGGGGCUGGAGGUUCAAGAUCCAUGUACCUGCUGAUUGGGUUCCUGGUGAGGGCGCUCUUGCAGGCUUUCAUAGACAUCCUGUACAGGACAUAGUUAUACCAAAAUAAUAUUACCUGCUGAUGAUCUGAAGUACAGAUUUACCAAAAUAUCCCAUAUUUUAUUUUAUUUUAUUU